AUCUAGCUGACGAGUCUCAAAUAUGACGAAACGCGUAUCAAACUGGAU
rfam:Schistosoma curassoni strain Dakar, Senegal genome assembly, scaffold: SCTD_scaffold0000036